rnacentral:lncRNA from 1 species
UAUUGAAUUGUUGAGACAUGAAAGGAAGCUUGAUUUUUAGAUCCCUAUCCUCGAUUGCUCCAACUACGCAUUUUAAAAAACACACAUGAUUACAUUUAUUAGUUUCCUCGAUAAGAAGACAUGGAGGACAGUGCUUACUAGUUGAGAUCCACCGGCAAUUGAAGUUGACGGUGUAAGGACAUCCAAGCCAUAGACUACCUAUAUUAUUAAGAUAAGGUAGGCAACUUCAACUCCAAGACGUUAAAUGUCGUCUUUAAUGGAGUAGAGCUCCAGGAAUUAAAGAGACUAUUGUUGUAGGCCAAUUUUGGCCCAAAUACAACCAAAUACUCACCCCAAUUUCAUCAGCCCAACAUCAUCAAACCCAAUCUAAACCAACAGCCCACCUAAACUAACCUACUAAACAUUUUCCAGCAAAGAAAAAACACUAGCCACCUCCCCACUUUCCUCUGACACCAGCCACCAUCACCUGCUCCACCAGUCACCCCCAUACCCUGCAAAAACAGAGCAAACAAGCAAGACGGGAAAAUAUGGCAAAAGUAAUAAAAAAAUUUGUAAAAGAUUACUAUAAAAAGCCAUUCAAAAAUGCUGUAAAAAGGGGGGUUUAUUUUUUUUUAAAAGAAAGAUUGUAACACAGAUAUUGGAAAUAAAAACGGAUACAAAAACAAAAAAAGAGAAGGAAGGUUCAAGAGGUUUAGUUUUGUUCUUCUUUUUUUUUUCCCUUUUUUCUUCUUUUUGUUCUCUGCUUACCUUGUUUUUUUCAUAUUUAUUCAUUGUUUUUUUUUCCUUUUCUUUUUUCAAGAAAACCUUUUUUUAACAAAGAAACAUAAAAAAUUUUAAAGUAGGCGUACCUAGGUUGCGCUCCUUCGCUGUACACGGCGGUCACCGCCGUCGUCGUUGGCGAUAGGGCGGGUCUCUAAGGAACCCAAUCGACAGAAAGAAAAAGGGGGAGGGGAAGAGAGCAUGGAAGUUUUUUUGUUUUUUUAAGAUUGGGGGUUGAAAAUGAAACACAAAAAAAAAUCUUUGUUUUUAAAUAAUGGUGUUGAAACGGCAUUAUUUUGUUUGGUGGGUGGGGUCUGUACACUUUCUCUAAAAGGGAAAUUUAUGCGUUUAGUCCUACUCUCUCGCAACCUCAUUCAAUUAACCCACAUUUUCUAUAUUCUUUUGUUUUUUAAAUUUGGCCCUCAGAUCUUGUUUGGUUUUCGUUUUGAUCCCUAAUUAAUUAUCCAAUAUUUAUACUUUUAUAUCCCGAAUUUUAAUUUGUUUUUAGCCAUGUCCUAAAUCUAUUUAAUUUAUUUAUUAACCUUUUUUUUAAAAUGUUUCAUUUAUAUGUUAUUUCAAAUAUUUUAUAUGUUGUUUAUUUACAUCAUUAUUGUAAAUAUUUUAUAUACAUAUUUUUUUGUACAUUUCCUAAUAUUUUCUUUUAUUGUAGAUAUUAUUAUUAUAUACUCUUAUUAUAUGCAUAUAUAUGAAGUAUCUUUUAUGUACAUAUUAUUUUAUAUUAUUAUUACCAAAUAUAUCAUUUUUUCUUAUUAUUAGUACAUGAUUUGUUUUUAUUUUCUUUUUUUGCAAAUGUCAUUAUUAUUGUUAUAAUAAUUUCUAGUAUUCCAUGUUAAAAUUUUUCAUUAAUGAUAUCAUUGUUUGCGUCGUUUAUCUAUUUUUAAAUUCUCACUUUAGAAAUAUUUUUUUCUUAUGUUUUAAUUAAUUUCAAUAAAUAAAGCAACGCGCCGAUUUAACAUUAAGUCGUAGAUUUCAUCGCUAUGUUGGGUGGAAUUUGUCAGCUCGUGCUAAAGACGGAACACCCUUCUAAAAAACCAAAAAAAAUAAAAACUAAAAUUUUUCGUCUUUUCAAUCGGAUCACGAUUAAAUAUUACAUUGAACUCGCAUUUUUGAAAAUCAAGACAACACGUGUUUAUAAGAUACCAAUUUUGGGCGUCGCGAGGGUGCUAAUACCUUCCCCGCGCGUAACCGACUCUCGAACCUUAUUUUUCUCUGGACUUUUGACGUAGACCUAAACUCGGCCUUCCUUUUGUUUUAAAAAAUAAAUCUAAUAGGUGUCCGAUCACACCUAGGAAAAAGGAUCGAUGGCGACUCCCUCUUUAUUUUAAAAUCAAACUUCAGUUUUCAAGUUUUCAAUAAAUCGCCACAAUUAGCGACCAAAUCUAAACAUUUUUACGUCGCUACAGCUGGCGACUCCGCUGGGGACUUCUAUUUUUGAGAGUCGAGUUGAAUUAAACGCGUGUUGUCAAAAUUUUCAAAUUUCCGUAUUCAAAUUAAUAUUUAAUCAUGAUCCUUAAGUUUUGUUUUCGAAAAAAAUCAUACAUACAUAUCUCCUAAUUUGUUUUAUCUUUUGUUUUUCAGCUUUAAGUUUUACAGUUUUAGUUUUGUAGUUUUAAAAUAAAUGAAAGGUUUGCAAGUUUCUCCCUACGCACCGUGCACUUGCAUUUCGCAUAACAUGAGCUCUCAACCCGGGCCCCGUCCGUUUAAGUGAAAGUAAACGCUACGCCUUCGUGGGUUAACUCGUCCCUCCGCACAGGCUAGUGAAUACUUUCGGGUUACAUACAACUUAUGCUUUCGUGAGUUAACUUGUCCCUCCGCAUAGGCAUAAGUAAAUGUAAUCCCUCGAAUUGAACUCGUGUGAUGGGCUAUGACCGAGGCUUCGUACUAAUCUUAGCAGAUGACAGUACGGACAAUUCGAGUACCUAUCUAGAACCAAAACCGCAUAUAAUGAACCAUACGAGCCACCUAACUAGAGCCAUGCUAAACCUCCAUCCGUUUAGUAGUCACCAAAAUAAGCGCACGGGAGGAACGCCUCUUGCCUUUUGCAUUUUCACUGUCUAUACGAAGGGGAUUGAGUCUGUUUAAUAAACUAGAUUUGGGUAAUUUGAUUCGUUCAAUUUUUCAUAUUUUUUCUGUCUGUAUUUAAUUACUAAUCAAGAUUAUUUGUCUUUGCCGUAUUGUUUUUCAUCAUGCAUUAUAGGCAUCAUAUUAGAAAGGUGUUGACUAAAGAUCGGUUGCCAAAAAAUGGGUUUUUAAUGGAAGAGUCAAUUAUACAAACAACCGAGGAAAAUGCCGUAGUCCGAGAUUGGUCUCUAAAAACUCAGAAAGAAAAAGGGGAUAGUCUAGUGGAGGGAUGUAUUGCCAAUUUGCCCGAGCACGUAACUGUAAAUGUUCGCCAGAAUAACCUUGAAGAUUUGGUUCGGGUUUGGAAUCAGUGGGACUCGGAUACUAGAGGUAUCUUCGCCGAGAGAUAUGGAGACAUAGCCAACUUGAUUGCUGUCAGCGUAGACGAACGAUUGAUCCAAGCCAUGGUUAGAUUUUGGGAUCCAGCCUACCACUGUUUUACUUUCAAUCAGGAAGACAUGACCUCGACUAUAGAAGAGUACACUGCUUUGCUCCGUGUCGAUAAUAUACAACCUUAUAAGAUAUAUGUGCAAGAGCCUAAGCCAAUGACCUUCAAGAAAAAGUUAGUAAGAGUGACAGACAUGACUGACGCGUGGCUCGAAAAAUAGAUAAAGAAGAAGAAUGAAACCAUUUGUAUCUCAUGGUCUUCCCUACGAGACUUGGUUCUAAACCAUCCCGACAUGUUGAAAAGGGUAAAUCUGUUCGCUCUGGCCAUUUACGGUUUGAUCAUCUUCCCGAAGGUCCUUGGACACAUAGAAGUUGCGGUGGUAGAUUUCUUCGAAAGAUUAAAACAAGGAAUCAACCCCGUCCCAACUAUCCUGGCCAAAACCUUCAGAUCACUAAGUAGCUGUAGGAAGAAAGGGGAAGGCCGAUUUAUCGGAUGCGCGCAGUUACUUAAUGUUUGGAUUCUGAGUCACUUCUGGAAAGUAGAGCGCGCACCGUUCCAUAUGUUUUCUAAAACAUUCUCCCCGUUAGAAGCUUAUCUCAAGAAAGAAUGGCCGAAGGAGAUCACUGAACAACACUGGGUCUCAGUCUUUUAGAAUCUUCGCGCCGAUGACGUAACUUGGAGAGCCCCGUGGAUACGCCCGUUAGUUCUGCUAUACAAGGUCAGAGAUCAAGAUUGGGUGCCACUACUCGGAUUAUGGGGAGGAGUCGGAUAUGCCCCAUUAUUAGUCCAAAGGCAAUUUUCUUCGCGGCAAUUCAUACCCGCCACUGGCGGAUUGGCACAAUCCGAGUUCGCUUUCGCGGGUGAAGGAUAUAUGAAGAAGGUCUGAGACAAUGCAAAAUCUUAGAAGAAAAUUCAUCUAAUGGAAUUGGCCUUAUAUGCUGAUACCCUAACUCAAGAUUACGACAUAUGGAGGAAGCAACGGAUAAAUAGUCAGCAGAUUUCAUUAACAACUCCACCGUCCAGAAUCCUUUCUCAGAGGAAAUGCCGUCUGAGCUAGAAAUAGCAAGACAAGAAUUUGAACGAGAAAAGGCCAAGAUGUCUCGGGACCUUAAUGGCCUUCAAGAAGAAAACUACCAAUUGAAGAUUGACAUUCAGAUUGAAAGAUCCAAAAUCGAGAAAGUGCAAAAAGAAGUUGAAGUCGUGAGAAAUGACUUAAGAGACCUCCAUCUGGAAAAUAAAAAGUUAAGAGGCACAAUGAAAAAUAGUGGGCUGGGCAAGUCAUCGGCAGAAUGGAAAGAGGAGAUAAGCAACAUUAAAGGAGGGAUGGAAUUUUGGAAAGGAAAAGCAAAGAAAGAGGAAGAAAAGGCUGCACAGGCUAUGAUAGAAUUGAGGAAGAAGAACGCCGAAUAUGAAGUAGUGUCUGCCGAGGUGAUGACUAGUCGAUCUAAACGUCAAGAACUAAAAGAAAGGAUACGAGAGUUAGAAGAUAUGCUGCAAGAUCGUCAACAACAGUUAGAUACUCUCUUGAAGGCUUUGGAAGAAAAAGAUUGUCAGUAUGAUAGAGACAUUCGUGCUUGCGAAGAGGGCCUCCAGGAAAAAAAAGGCAACUUAGCUAUUUGAUCAAUAAAGUUCGUGGGGUAGCCAUGCACGUGGUACAAUUAUCGGAAGAAGCUAAAAAUCUCAGUUACCAAUUCCCACCAAGCCAACGAUCGAGCAUAUCGAAAUUCCUAGAGCGAAUAAAGAAAUAUGGCGAUAUAGCUAGAAAGUUUGUGUAAUAGCUGAAUCAAAAAUGGCAAAAUGUUUUGUAAUGAACUCUUUUGAUGAAUGAAAUGCCUAAAUAGGGGCUAUCUUGAAAUCAACACCAAUUCCUUACAUGUCAUUCAUGACUAAUAUCCAUUUGACAUUCAAGCAUUCAUGCAUUUAUUCAUUCAUUCAUGGCAUAUCCCGUACUCAUUUGCUGAGGUUAAAAUGUACAAUUCGCAGUUGUAAUACUUCAAAUCUGGAACCACGCCACUCGUAUAGAACGCGUCGGCAAACUAGAACAAUGGAGGCUGAAUUCAAUGAAAGGAUUGAAAGAAUGGAAAGAAUCCAAAAGGAAUUACAAGAGCAGUUGGCUAGGUCACAGCAAGAGACGAGAGACUUAAUGGUGAGAUCACAAGAAGAAUCGCUCGAACAGAAGGAUCAAAUGGCCAAGAUGAUGGAGAUGAUGUCAGCUUUAGUUAAAAGAAAUGGACCCAUGCAGAGCCCUGACAUCGAGGAAUCUUGGUCAAGAGUUAAUCACAAUCAAGACUCGCUCUAUCCCCCUGGAUUCACUCCACCACACGCCCGCGCAGCACAAAGAGGAUACACCCAAGGAGAACCCACAGACCCAGAGCAACGGUCGGUGCCACAUACUCAUUUAGGGCAAGGAAUAUUCAUAUCAAAUUCUGGAGCUAAUCCCGCCAAUCCAAUUGUUCCAGAUUUGGACGAUCUAGCGGAAAUAGCCAGGUUGAGAACGGACGAUCAUGAGGCUUAAGAGAAGUAUAUGAGCUUAGAGGAAAGACUCAAAGCAAUAGAGGGUACUGAAGCUUUCUCUGCACUAAGUGCCAAAGAGCUCAAUUUGGUGCCCGAUCUAGUUCUGCCUCUGAAGUUCAAGGUGCUUGAUUUCGAAAAAUACGAUGGCACGAGAUGUCCAAAGGCGUAUCUUGUCAUGUUUUACCGAAAAAUAACUGGUUACGUGAAUGAAGACCAACUACUCAUACAUUGUUUUCAGGACAGUCUAGUAGGAUUGGCUCUUCGGUGGUACAACCAGCUUAGUAGGGAAAGGAUCCGAUCUUGGAAAGACUUGGCAUCAGUAUUCUGUGAGCAAUACAAGCAUGUAUCGGAUAUGGUACCAGACCGAAUGACUUUUCAAAUGAUGGAGAAAAAGCAGUCAGAAACUUUUAGACAGUAUGCGCAGAGAUGGAGGGAUGUCUCAGCCCAAGUGGAACCCCCAUUAACGAAAACGGAGAUAACCGUUCUUUUCAUCAACACUUUGAAAGCACCGUUUUAUGAUAAACUAGUGGGAAGUGCCACGAAAGACUUUGCGGAUAUUGUAAUAUCCGGUGAGCUUAUAGAGAAUACCGUUAAGAGCGGUAGAAUGGAAGGUCAAGAAAGUUCAAGAAGGGCAGCGCCCAUGAAGAAGAAAGAACCAGAAGCCUACAUGGUGGGAAUGGGAAGCCGUUAUGCCCCUAACCUUUAUUCAAACCAACCCCGACCUCAAAAUUAUCCUCCUCUGAAUUUCUAUUAUCCUCCUCAAACCCCUUACUACCGAGCACCACCUCCUUUCUACCCCGUAUAUGCCAUGAACAACCAAAGGCCCGUCACUACAUUCCCACAAAAUACAAUACCCGCCCAAGGUCAACCCAAAAAUGAGCAGAGGCCAGCAAAACCCUAUUCUGAGAAACCACAAUUUACCCCUAUUCCUGUGUCAUAUGGGGAGCUGUACCCAAAAAUUUUGGAGAAGCAAUUAAUAUCCCCGCAUUAUAUGGCACCCUUGAGGCCCCCAUACCCGAAAUGGUACGACCCAAACACUAGUUGUGCAUACUAUGCAGGAAACCAGGGACAUUCGACGGAAAAUUGCCUAGCCUUUAAGAGGAGAGUUCAAGGACUAAUUGAUGCGGAUAUCCUACGAUUUGAUAGUGCCUGUAAUGCAACUGGGAACCCGUUCCCUAACCAUACUGAAGGAAAUGUGAGCACAGUGGGGAAAGAAGAUGAAUGGCAAGUUAGAAGAUGUGUUUCAGAAAUAAAGACGCCUCUGCAGAAAAUCUGGGAGGCACUGGUUAAGAAUAGAUUGCUCUGUCACCUCGACGAUAAUCUCAAAAAAGAAUGUCAGGUUUUUUGUGAUUUUCAUGGAAUUGUAGGGCACGGCAUUCAAUCAUGUGAGGAAUUUAAAAGGUUAUUGCAAGACCGGAUAGAUAAUAAGGAGAUUGUGUUCAUUAAUCAAGGAGAGGCCAAUGAGAAAGAAGUAUGUGCCUCUGACAAUCAAUCGUCAAGUUGUCCGUAUAGCGCCGAUCGACCAUUCGUAAUUUAUUACGAUGCAAGGAAGGAACCGGUGAAACCAAAAAUGAUGAUUGAAGUACCGUCUCAUUUCCCUUACAAGGACAAUAAAUCAGUACCGUGGAAAUAACGUUAAUAUCGUCACACCUGAAGAUGAAAAACCCAAUGCCAUGACUGGAGGCGUCGGGGAAGUAGGUCAUUUCACUUGUAGUGGAAGAUGUUAUUCGAAGGAGGUGAAGAAGAACAGUGACUUGAAACAGAAAGGAAAAGCACCGAUGCACAUGACCAAAGAAAAGCAUGAAACUGUGCCUGAACAAGAAGCUAAAAAGCCUAUGGACGAGGAGGAAGCACAGGAAUUUUUAAAAUUUAUCAAGCACAGUGAGUACAACGUGGUAGAACAAUUAAGUAAGCAGCCAGCACGAAUCUCGGUAUUAUCUCUGCUGUUGAAUUCAGAACCAUACCGGAACGCUCUGCUGAAAAUGUUAAAUCAAGCUUAUGUGGCAAACAAUGUAUCCGUUGAAAAAUGGAUAGAUGGAUGAACAACUUGAAUGCGGAUAAUUUCAUUUCCUUUAGUGACGAUGAAAUAUCGCCCAAUGGUAGAGGCUCAGUGAAAGCAUUGCAUAUCACAACCCGUUGUAAGGGCUAUAUAAUAUCGAACGUGCUCAUCGAUAAUGGAUCGGCACUCAAUGUCAUGCCUUUGGCCACACUUUCCAAGAUUCCGAUGGAUUUGUCCUAUCUAAGGCCCUGCCAUUCUACAGUAAGGGCAUUCAAUGGAACAAGACGAGAAGUUAUGGGAAAACUCGAGAUCCCUCUAGAAGUGGGUCCCUACAUAUACAAUAUUGAGUUUCAAGUCAUGGACAUUACACCAUCAUACAAUUGUCUCUUGGGAAGACCUUGGAUCCAUUCUGCUGGAGCAGUACCAUCAUCCCUCCAUCAAAAGGUGAAAUUUAUCAUGGAUGGUUGUUUGGUCACUGUCUAGGGAGAAGAAGACAUUGUCGCAUCUAUCUCUGCUGAUGCACCCUACCUCGAAGUAAGCAAAGACGCAGUAGAAUGUUCCUUCCGAUCCAUUGAAUUCGUCAAUGCCACAUUCGUCGCUGAGGGAAAUAGAAUUCCCGCGCCAAAACUAUCGAGAAAUACCAAGAUGGGUGUCAAAUUGACUGUAGCAAAGGGAGCCCGAGCAAGGAAAGGUUUGGGAAGGUACCUGCAAGGAAUAGUCAGGGCUCUAAAGCAAGUACACCACAAGGCCCGAUACGAUUUAGGGUUCCAGUCGGACAUGCGUCAAAGAAGAAAGCAGUGGAAGUAAGAUCAGGAAAGAAGGAUCGCAAGAACACUAGGCCGAGAACCAGAAUGAGAGCCCAUGGAAUUCCCUCCUUUGUCAAGAAUAUUUACGUCUACAGGAAUGAUAUACCCAGGGCAGUAUAGUGCACAAAGCACAAUGUUAAUGAUCGAAGAGGGUUUUCAGAAUAUCAGUAUAAAUGUCAUUGACAAAGGAGCUGACGCGAGUAAAGACAUCUCAAAGAUACGCCCUUGUCCCCCGGGUUUCAUGUUAAACAAUUGGACUGCCCAGGAUCUUCUUGUAGUUUAUAAGUCUUCAGAGUAAUGCUCAAACGUUAACAUUCUGUUAUGUCCUCAGAUAUAAUAGAAUUCUUUUUGUAAGAGCUUGUAUUCGCUCUUUAUCAUUUAAAUGAAUAUCAAUGAAGAUGCAUUUUGUCACGAUUUUUUCGCAUUAUCACUAAUUCCAUAAUCAUUUUGUAGCCUAUCUUUACAAUUGCCUCACGUCAUACCAUAACAUUCAGUUUGUUGAUUUCAAUACUUAGAUGCCCCUCUAUAGUUUCCUUUUCCAUUCAACUUUCAGGUGCUCAGAUAUCAACAGCAUGAAUAAACCCGUUACGAGUUCUGAAAUCGAUUUUGAGAAGGCUAUUUGUUUAGGAGAAUUUGAAGUCGAAAAAAAUGCUGAAGACUAUGUCUCGUCUCCUGACUUGCUAAGAAUGGUGGAACAAGAGGAUAAAUAGAUUUUGCCUCAUCAAGAAUCUGUUGAAACAAUAAAUCUGGGAACUGAAGAAAGGAAGCAAGAAGUGAAGAUUGGGACUUCUAUUUCAGGGGGCAGCAGGCAUAAUUUGAUUGCUUUGCUCCGCGAGUACAAAGAUGUAUUCUCAUGGUCAUAUCAGGACAUGCCAGGAUUGGAAGAAGAUGUAGCGGUCUAUAAGCUCCCAUUGAAGCCAGAAUGUAAGCCUAUUCAACAAAAGCUAAGACGGAUAAGACUUGAGAUGUUGUUGAAGAUAAAAGGGGAAGUCAAGAAGCAAUUUGAUGUUGGUUUCCUACAAGCCUCCAAAUAUCCAGAAUGGGCGGCUAACAUAGUCCUGGUACCAAAGAAAGACGACAAAGUGCGAAUGUGCGUGGAUUAUCGUGACCUGAAUCGAGCAAGUCCUAAAUAUAAUUUUCCCUUACCACACAUUGAUACGUUGGUGGAUAACACAGCAAAACAUUCAUUGUUUUCUUUCAUGGACGGAUUCUCGGGGUAUAAUCAGAUCAAGAUGGCCCCUGAGGAUAUGGAGAAAACUACCUUCGUAACAAUGUGGGGAACAUUCUGCUACAAGGUGAUGCCAUUUGGGUUAAAGAAUGCUGGGGCAACAUAUCAGAGGGCUAUGGUGACGUUAUUCCAUGACAUGAUGCAUAAAGAAAUAGAGGUCUACGUCGACGAUAUGAUUGCUAAAUCCCGAGGGGAAGAAGAGCAUGUAGUGAACCUGAAGAAAUUGUUUGACAGACUGAGAAAAUUCCAACUAAAGCUCAAUCCGGCCAAAUGUAUGUUUGGGGCUACCUCUGGAAAAUUGCUGGGCUUCAUUGUCAGUGAAAGAGGUAUCGAGGUUGAUCCAGAUAAAAUAAAAGCUAUUCAAGAGUUACCACCUCCGCGCACGCCAAAGGAAGUCAGAGGAUUUUUAGGGAGGUUAAACUACAUCGCCCGAUUUAUCGCUCAACUUACCAACCAAUGCGACCCAAUCUUUCGACUCCUUCGAAAACAUAAUCUCGGAGAAUGGAACGAGGAGUGCCAAGUGGCUUUUGACAAGAUAAAACAGUAUUUGUCUAAUCCUCCAGUGCUAGUACCGCCAAUGCCGGGAAGACCAUUGAUAUUGUAUUUGACUGUGUUCGAGAAUUCAAUGGGUUGCGUACUGGGGCAACACAACGAGUCAGGAAAGAAAGAAAAGGCGAUCUACUACUUCAGCAAAAAGUUUACUGAAUAUGAGGCAAAGUAUUCGUCCAUAGAUUACUGCAACGCUCUGGUUUGGGUAGCUCGGAGACUCAGACAAUAUAUGUUGUAUCAUACGACAUGGCUAAUUUCAAAGUUGGACCCAAUAAGGUACAUGAUGGAAUCACCUGCACUCUCAGGAAGAAUGGCACGAUGGCAGAUCUUACUAUCAGAAUAUGACAUCAUCUAUGUGAGCCAAAAGUCGAUAAAAGGGAGUGCAAUAGCUGACUUCUUAGCAACUCGAACAACGAAGGAAUAUGAGCCAUUGAAAUUUGAUUUCUCAGAUGAAGACUUAAUAUGCAUUACAGAAAAAGAAUGUGAGUCAUCAAAAGAAAAGUCAUGGGGAUGAGCUUUGACGGUGCAUCGAAUGCAUUGGGGCAUGGGAUUGGAGCAGUCUUAGUAUCACAAGAAGGGAACCAUUAUCCGUUCACUGCCAGGCUGAAUUUCUUCUGUACCAAUAACAUAGCAGAAUAUGAAGCUUGUAUCAUGGGACUUCGUGCAGCAAUUGAACAAAACAUCCAAACUUUAGAGGUAUACGGAGACUCAGCAUUAGUGAUUUAUCAGAUCCGUGGAGAUUGGGAAGUGAGGGAUUCAAAAUUAGUCAAAUACAGUGAUCUCGUGGCAGGGUUGAUUAAAGAAUUCAAAGAAAUAACUUUUAAUUACUUUCCACGAGAAGAAAACCAAUUAGCUGAUGCCCUGGCCACUUUGGCUUCAAUGUUUAAAGCAAACAGAGAAACAGAAAUAAUGCCUCUUCAAAUGAGUAUAUAUGAAGCCCCUACAUAUUGUUUCAGCAUUGAGAAAGAGCCAGAUGGGCAGCCAUGGUUCCAUGAUAUCUUAGAAUACAUCAAGAAUCAAAGGUAUCCCGAGCAAGCAAAUAUGAACGACAGAAGAACAAUCAGAAGAAUGGCAGCGGAUGGGGACAUCCUAUACAAAAGAGGAAAAGAUCAGGUGCUCUUGAGAUGCGUGGAUACAGUUGAAGCCAGAAAAAUACUUAAAGAUGUCCAUGAAGGAAUUUGCGGGACACAUGCCAAUGGUUUCACUAUGGCCAGGAAGAUUAUAAGACUCGAAUAUUACUGGCUGUCGAUAGAAAGCGACUGCAUUAAUUUCGCACGAAAAUGCCACAAAUGUCAAAUUUAUAGUGAUAAAAUUCAUGUAGCCCCUUUGCCCCUUCACGUCAUGACUUCUCCGUGGCCUUUUUCUAUGUGGGGCAUGGACGUUAUAGGGCCUAUUUCCCCAAAAGCUUCCAAUGGACACCGGUUCAUUUUUAUGGUCAUUGAUUACUUCACAAAAUGGAUAGAAGCUACAUCGCUUGCCAAUGUGACGAAGACUGCGGUUUGCAGGUUUUUGAAAAAGGAAAUCAUUUGUAAAUAUGGUUUUCCUAAAAGAAUCAUUUCAGAUAACGCCUUAAAUUUGAACAACAAGAUGAUGAAAGAAGUGUGUGAGCAAUUCCAAAUAAAGCAUCAUAACUCCUCGCCCUAUCGCACAAAGAUGAAUGGAGCGGCCAACAAGAAUAUUAAGAAGAUUAUUGGGAAAAUGAUUGAGACAUAUAAAGACUAGCACGAGAAGCUACCAUUUGCUUUGUAUGCAUAUCGCACAUCUGUACGGACAUCUACGGGGGCAACUCCUUUCUCUCUGGUCUAUGCAUUGGAAGCUGUGCUACCUAUCGAAGUUGAGAUCCCCUCUCUACGAGUCUUAAUGGAGUCGAAAUUAGAGGAAGUAGAAUGGGUUCGAGCUCGAUAUGACCAGUUAAACCUCAUCGAAGAAAAACGUCUAAAGGCAAUUUGUCAUGGAAAAAUGUACCAGAAGAGAAUGACCGCGGCUCAUGACAAGAAAAUACGGCCAAGAGAAUUCCAAGAAGGAGAACUCGUGCUGAGAAAGAUUCUCCCAAUACAAAGAGACCUGCGAGGAAAAUGGGCACCGAAUUGGGAAGGACCAUACGUCGUAAAGAAGGCAUUCUCGGGUGGAGCUUUGAUUCUCACCGAGAUGGAUGGGAAGGAGUUACCGAGUCCAGUGAACUCAGAUGCUGUAAAGAAAUAUUAUGCUUGAAAAAGGAAACCAAGAUAAAAACCCGAAAAGGGCGUCUUAAAAAAAAAGAGAGAGAAAAAAGGGAUCAAGGUGAAAACCCGAAAAGGGCGUCUUGAUUAAACACAAAAGAUUAGGAUGAAAACUCAAAAGGGCAUUCUAAUGAAGCAAACCCGGGCUUAAAGAACAAGGCGUUUUGAACGGUGGGUCAAAUAGUGAGACUACAGUAUUUGAAGCAUUUCUGAAAGCUCGAAAUCUUCUACGCAAGAAGCCAUGCUCGAAAAGAUUCUUGAUUGAGAAACGUGGAAAAUUUCAUGCAUUAAAUAUCUAGAGCAUUUGUAUUCGUUGAAUGCAAUCCCUUUUCUCUUUAUGACACUUUUUUACUAUUAUUGGUUAACUUUCUUUGUUUACUACAUUUGAAAUGAAUAAAUACGAGGUAUCCUUUUGUCCCUACCUGACCAUUUUUUUCAUGCAUCUCAUUAUGUGGUCCGUUUACAUGAUAAAUAGUGAAAUGACAUACUCUAAACAAAAGAAAUAUUAAGCAUUACCCGGGUAAGAAUUUGAUAAGUACAAGAGCCUCAACGCAAGGACAAAAACUCAACCAGGGGCAAAAGAGCGAUAUCUGGGAAAUAUAGAUUAUUCGUGAAGCUUGAGGACAGGUACAGAACCUGAAGAGAAAGUCAAGAGUUGAAACAAUGAACACAUAUCAUCAAAAAUUGUGACGAAAAAGGGAUAUAUGACAGACAUGCCUAAAGCUCAUAUCAUAAUCAUGUAGGCAUAAAUGCAUUUAAGACAAACAUGUGCAUAUCAUGAUGACAUCAUGCAUGACAUAUACAGGUACUCCAGUAGAGUAAAAGGAUGUGAUGAUAGCUGAAAAGACACAUGAAUUCCACCAGAUGACAUGUUUUGGUAUUCUGAUGUUUUAUUUCUGUUUUUCAAAAAUCAACUCAUAUUGCGAGAGGUGAGUUGAGCCUCAGGACAUGCUGAGGUAAUUUCAAUUUCUGUUUUCUUCAAUUUAUGUUUUUCAAAAAUCAGCUCAUAUUACGAGAGGUGAGUUGAGCCUCAGGGCACACUGAGGUAUUUUCAAUUUCUGCUUUUCAAUUUCUGCUUUUCAAAAAAAUCAACUCAUAUUGCGAGAGGUGAGUUGAGCCUCAGGACACACUGAGGUAAUUUCAAUUUAUGUUUGUCAAAAAAAAAUCAACUCAUAUUGCGAGAAGUGAGUUGAGCCUCAGGGCACACUGAGGUAUUUUCGAUUUCUGCUUUCCAAUUUCUGCUCUUCAAAAAAAUCAACUCAUAUUGUGAGAGGUGAGUUGAGCCUCAGGACACGCUGAGGUAAUUUCAAUUUCUGUUUGUCAAAAAUCAACUCAUAUCGCGAGAGGUGAGUUGAGCCUCGGCUCACAUGCUGAGGUCUUUUCAAUUUCUAUUUUUCAAUUUCUGUUCGUCAAAAUCAACUCAUAUUGCGAGAGGUGAGUUGAGCCUCGAGGCACGCUGAGGUAUUUUCAAUUAAUGUUUUUUCAAUUUAUGCUUUUCAAAAAUCAACUCAUAUUACGAGAGGUGAGUUGAGCCUCGGGUCACAUGCCAAGGUAUUUCCAAAAUCUGUUUGGCAAAUUCUGUUUUCAAAAAUCAACUCAUAUUGCGAGAAGUGAGUUGAGCCUUUGCUCACGUGCUGAGCUAUUUUUCAAUUUCUGUUUUUAAUGUCUAGUUUUUAAAAGUCAAUUCAUAUUGCGAGAAAUGAGUUGAGCUCAGGAUCACACACUGAGUAAAGAACAAAGAUUGGAGCCGAUUGAAGGCACCAGAUUUUGUCUCCCUGAAGUUGUAGUGGAGCUGGUCGAGGAUAUCAGAUCUUGCCUUUCAGAAGUGGCAGAAGAGAAGACCAAAACCUUAUCUCACGGAAGCAAUAGAAGAGAAGAUUGAAGUUGUAGAUCUUAUCCUUCUGAAGUUACAGUGAAGCAGAUGGAAGCCACAAAUCUCAUAUCCUUGAAACUACAUUGAAGUAGAUUGAAGCUACAAGGCCCAUAUCAGAAGAUACAAUGAACUGAACCAAAGCUACAAGAUGCGAUGGACUAGUAAGAGACUGCCCGGAAAAGAAGAGCGCCAAAGAAGUCAACAAUUGGCAAGACCGGGCGAAAUUGGCCUUUCAUUAUGUCUUUGCUCUAUUCCCGUUACACGAUAAUGAGCAAAGAGGGGCAGCUGUUGUAGGCCAAUUUUGGCCCAAAUACAACCAAAUACCCACCCCAAUUUCAUCAGCCCAACAUCAUCAAACCCAAUCUAAACCAACAGCCCACCUAAACUAACCUACUAAACAUUUUCCAGCAAAGAAAAAAACCUUAGCCACCUCCCCACUUUCCUCUGACACCAGCCACCAUCACCUGCUCCACCAGUCACCCCCAUAUCCUGCAAAAACAGAGCAAACAAGCAAGACGGGAAAAUAUGGCAAAAGUAAUAAAAAAACUUGUAAAAGAUUGCUAUAAAAAGCCAUUCAAAAAUGUUGUAAAAAGGGGGGUUUAUUUUUUUUAAAAGAAAGAUUGUAACACAGAUAUUGGAAAUAAAAACGGAUACGAAAACAAAAAAGAGAAUGAAGGUUCAAGAGGUUUAGUUUUGUUCUUUUCUUUUCCUUUUUUCUUCUUUUUGUUCUCUGCUUACCUUGUUUUUUUCAUAUUUAUUCAUUGUUUUUUUUUCCUUUUCUUUUUUCAAGAAAACCUUUUUUUAACAAAGAAACAUAAAAAAUUUUAAAGUAGGCGUACCUAGGUUGCGCUCCUUCACUGUCGUCGUUGGCGGUAGGGCGAGUCUCUAAGGAACCCAAUCGACAGAAAGAAAAAAGGGGGAGGGGAAGAGAGCAUGGAAGUUUUUUUUUGUUUUUUUAAGAUUGGGGGUUGAAAAU